CCUGAUUCUCAGACAUUUGGCUAAGAUCAAGUGUAGUAUGUGUUCUUAUCAGUUUCAUAUCUGAUACGUACCCAGUAUUGCAGUGCCUCUGGGAGCGGUGCACUUUCU
ensembl:snRNA U2 U2 spliceosomal RNA